CGGGGUGUAGCUCAGAGGAAGAGCGCUGCGUUCGGGACGCAGAGGUCGCACGUUCAAGUCGUGUCACCCCGA
rnacentral:tRNA from 1 species